UACGUAGGGGGCAAGCGUUGUCCGGAUUUAUUGGGCGUAAAGAGCGCGUAGGCGGCUUGGUAGGUCCGCUGUGAAAACUCGAGGCUCAACCUCGAGAUGUCGGCGGAAACCACUUGGCUAGAGUCCGGAAGAGGAGAGUGGAAUUCCCGGUGUAGCGGUGAAAUGCGCAGAUAUCGGGAAGAACACCUAUGGCGAAGGCAGCUCUCUGGGACGGUACUGACGCUGAGACGCGAAAGCCAGGGGAGCGAACGGG
rnacentral:rRNA from 1 species